rnacentral:misc_RNA from 1 species
GCGAGUUAACUAAAACUCCAAACCCAUGUGAACAUACCUAUUGUUGCCUCGGCAGGUCGCGCUGCACGGCCUGGAUUCCCGCCUGUGGGUGGCAGCUACCCUGUAACAGGUUACCCUGGAGCUGGGAGCAGCUACCCUGUAGUUGGGAACACCUACCCUGUAGCGCACAACCAGGCCUGCCGACGGACCCCUAAACUCUGUUUUCACAACUGUAUCUCUGAGUUGACUAUACAAAUAAGUUA